rnacentral:lncRNA from 1 species
GGUGGUUUUGGCAACGUCUACAAGGGAGUCCUCAAGAAUGGCAUGACAGUGGCUGUGAAAAGAAGCCAGCCAGGGUCAGGUCAAGGCCUUCCAGAAUUUCAGACAGAGAUUAUGGUUUUGUCCAAGAUUCGCCACAGGCACCUGGUUUCCUUAAUUGGGUAUUGUGAUGAGAGGUUGGAGAUGAUUCUGGUCUAUGAAUACAUGGAAAAAGGAACCCUAAGGGACCAUUUGUAUAACACAAAGUUUCCAACCUUGUCCUGGAAGGCGAGGCUUCAAAUUUGCAUUGAUUCUGCCAGGGGUCUUCAUUACCUUCACAAAGGAGCAGCUGGGGGAAUCAUUCACCGUGAUGUGAAGUCCACAAACAUAUUGCUUGAUGAGAACCAUGUCGCUAAAGUUGCUGAUUUUGGUCUUUCAAGGUCAGGUCCUCUUGGUACUGAAUCGUAUGUCACCACUGGUGUUAAAGGCACUUUUGGGUAUCUUGAUCUUGAGUAUUUCAGGUCGCAACACCUGACAGAAAAAUCUGAUGUCUACUCAUUUGGGGUAGUUCUUUUGGAAGUUUUAUGUGCAAGAGCAGCGAUUGACCCAUCUCUUCCAAGAGAUCAGAUAAACUUGGCGGAAUGGGGAUUGCUUUGCAAAAACAAGGGGACACUCCAAGAGAUCAUCGAUCCUUCCAUCAAGGAUCAAAUUGAUCAAAACUCACUCAGAAAAUUUAGUGAGACGAUAGAAAAAUGCUUGCAAGAAAAUGGUUCUGAUAGGCCAACCAUGGGUGAUGUGUUAUGGAACUUGGAGUAUGCGGUGCAGCUUCAGAGAGGUGCAAAUUCAAUGCAGAGAGACCCGUAUGAGAAUAGUUCUAGCAGUGUUUCUACAUCACUUCAACUGCCAAAUGUUCGGCGUCUUCCUUCACUCUCCACACUGAGUGAAGCCGAUGAUAUAAUUGUGAGGCAUGAUGAAUCCGAUAGUGCUGUGGAUUACGUUUUCUCCCAGUUGAAGAUUGAUGAUGCCAGUUAGAAUAUCGAGCACUUCAAGGCAGACUUCUAUUCGGAAAUGUCUUGAGUAGAGUAGUUGCUUUUAAGAUAGAUUUUCCAACCUUUCGUCUUUUUGUUUCUGUAGUUUUUGUUGUCAGUCUAUCACAGGGUUCUGUCCUUAAUUUCACCAUCCUCGUCUGGUUUCCUUAAUUAGUUUGAGUGAAAUAUGUAUUCAAAUAUUUUCUUUGCAGUAACCAACAAGCCUUGGAAGCCAUAAAUACCAUUAUUUUGAAUGCUUUAUGUUCUCCAAAGUUUAGAAGAAGGAAACCUGAGAAUGAUGUAAGUCUCAAUGUCUCAGUCAAAAAACACGUUGCUUACUUGUUCUUUCAAGUUUCAUAUUGAUGAAUUAUAUUGACCAAACAAUAAUUUCCCUUCGCAAUUUUCCUUUCUAAAGUGUUUGAGCAAUAUGGUGCAGACUUGGAAGGGGAAACUGCUACCUAUUUUCACUCCUCCAACAAAAUUGAGGAAGUUUCACUACUUAAGAUGAGAAUGGUAAAAAAGGGAAUGGGUAUAUAAAAACGAAGAAUAAGUCAAAUGCCUGAAAAUGAACCUGAGACUACGCCAACUAAAGAAGCUCAAGCCAAAGGAAGAGAAGAAAAAUCUCUUUCAUUUUUUGAACAACCUCUGUUGGUUAAGUUAGACAAAAUAUAUAAUUACCAGUUAAAGAAUGAUAAGGAAUAUGAUGAAACAUUUGAAAGCAUUCAUUUAUCUCUUCAGAGCAUUAAAAAAAAACUAGAGAGAUUGAAUUGAGAGUAGUGGUGAAUUUAGUGAAGAAUAGGAUUUCUUCAUGCAUCUUGCAUCUUCUGCAUUUCACUUAAUUAUAUUUUGUACUCAUUAUUAAAAUUUGUCAUAUUCAAGAUAAAUUUGAAUAAGAUUUACUUCAGUUAAGUAAUUUGUGUUUGUAUGACUCUUAUUUCUAUUUAAUUUUAUGCUUAAAGUAUCUAUUUUAAUAUGUUAAAAUGAAAAAUAAUCCAUUAAAUUGAAAAAAAUAAUGAAUUAAAUAGUCAAAUAACAUAUUAAAUAUACUUGUUUUUUUACUUUGUAAUGUUUUUUAAAGUAGAUAAUUAAUUACAUAAUCGAUUAUUUUAAAGAUAGGUUUAUUCUGGAACCACAACUUUUGUUCAGGAUAAUCAAUUACCAUUUAUCAUAAUUGAUUAUUCCAUAAUUUUUUUUGUAUAAAUAUUAUCUUUUUUAUUGCACAUGCUAUCUUUUAUUAUUCUUGUCAUAAUUUCUUUUUGAUAAUGUCCCACGGGGGAGAAUAUAUGUUUGUAUGUUUGAAGAUGUGCAUAUAUAUUUUUGAACUUGUAGUCUUAGUUCUUUGUUGUCUUUUUGCUUGUAUUUUACGUAAGGUUAGGUUUUAUAAUAAGGAGAAAAUACUUAUAAACCUAUUCUUUUUCACAUUAAGUAUAAAUAAGAAAAAAAAUAUAUAUAAGAAAGAAAUACUUACAAACCUAUUAUUUUAAAGAUUUUUUAUUGAAAGUAAUAUACUAAUCUCUUAUAUAAAUUGAUUCAUGUCUCUUUGUUAUAGAAUAUAUACAAGAGUCUCAAUUUUAAUACUUUUUCUCAUUUACUCCAACAUCCAAAAGAUCCAAUACGAUCAAUAAUAAACGGAUCAUGGUUUUGUCUCAAAUUUGUGAGGGACACCUUGUUUGCUUAAUUGGGGUACUGCAAUGAAAGCUUUGAGAUGAUAUUGAUGAAAAAUGUUAUUGAUUUUUUUUUUAAUUUAAUAAGUCAAUUUAUUUAAUUCCUGAGUUAAAUCGAAUUAACAAUUUUUUUAUGGAUUAAAUAUAUUUUUUUUUCUUGUAACACGAAAUUGAUUUUUGUUUUUUUUUUAAAAUUUAAACAAUCCAUGUUACUUAUAUUAUGGAAAUUAUUUGAAUAGAUCUUUUGUACGUGAAUGAUUGUUAUUUUUUUUCAAAAUUCAUUGUUUUAAUUACAUAUUGGUGUCACUAUAACUAUUUUUAGUGGAUUGAUGAAGUAUAAUCUUAAAUUAGAUCAAUUUCACCUACAAAAGGAAAUAUCUCAAUCAUUUUCAUAUUACAUAAAUGAGAUGGAUACGUAUGAUUUAAAAUUUAAAUAAAAAGAAAAUUAAUUCUAUGUUAUAGUAGAAAACUUUUUUAUUUAUUAUAAAAUUAAUUGAAUUAAGCUGAUUCAGUUUGAUGCAUGAGCACUUAUUCAUUAACUUGUCAUUCGGAUAACUCGUGAACUUAUGUCCGGAAAAGUUAACAAAUAAAAACCGUAGCACACGUUUCCAUUUGCAAUUUUAUUUUAUUUUAUUUUAAUUUCUUUUACAAUUGUUAUUUUUUUAUAUCUUUAUAUUAACAAAAAGAAGUUAAGAAACUCAUAUCAGUAUUUUAUAUACUUUUUAUAACUUUUAACAAAUUAAUAGUAGAUAAUAACAAACAUAAAAUAAAAAGAAAAUAAAAUAAAACAAAAAACAAAGGAGCAACUAUGAUAUUUUUAAACUCAACCAAAAUCAGGUAUUCCUGAAAGAUGAAUGGGCAAUUUUUUUAGACUUAAUUAUAUUUCAGUUCUUAAAAUUUGUAAAUCCAAUUUUGACUUUUUAAAGUUAAAAACAUUUUAGUCUUUUAAAUCUAAAAAAAAAUAUUAUUUCAGUCCCUCAGUUAAUAUUUAUAGAAUAAAAAUAUUUUUUUAUAUUAAAAAACUGUUUUUAAUACAUUUUAUAGAUCAAACUAAAUUCACUUCCAAUUUAAAAAAAAUGUUAUCCUGUAUGAAAAAAAAAAUUAACAAAAUAUUAUUUUUCUAAAAAUGCUGAACAAAACAUGAAGCCGUCCAAUUGGUACAAGCAUGUAACUUUACUCUACAAUAAGUGUAUUGAAUUUUAUAUAUAAUAAUUUUUUGUUCUAUUAUUUUAUGAUGAUUUUUUAAUUUUAGUCAAAGUUUUGAACAGAUUAUUCGUAUCAUAUUAACAAUUAAUAACACAAUGUCAUUAAUUAAUUUAUUAACAGAAUUGAUAUUUAACAAUUUUACAUAAAAAAUUACACUGACUCAUAUUUUAAAAGAAUGAACCAAAUUGAGUGGCAUAAAUAAAAAAUAAAUGAUAAUAAAAAAACCCAUUAAACUCAUUAUAUACAAGUCAUCACAUAUUCAAAUCCAAAAUCAUUUUGUAAUAAUAAUUUUUUAACUGAAGAAAAUUGUUGUGGUACUUUUUCUCUCUCCACAACUUCUUGGAAUUUUAACAGAAGAAAAAUCAUUUGGAUUUUUGACUUCUGUUGUAUUCCCUUCCAAGAAAACCAGGACAAAACAUCUGAAAAUUUUUGUUCUUCAGGAAAGAUAUUUGUACUCUACUUGCUGGCCAUUUAAUUAUUUAUUACAACAAGUCUCCAUGUCUGCGCGCUUCCGCAAUUGGUUAAAGACAAAAGUAAUGAAAACUUUCAAUCUUCUUUUUCACGGCUCUAAUAGUUGCGGUAGUUGAUAAAUCCACUUCAGAAUUAAAUAAAAGGGGAAAGAGGAAAUAUGAACAAAAAUCAACGCCGACUCCUUGACCAGUGCUCAAGUCUUCCUCUCAUUUCAGUCCACAGACUAAUAAUCUUAGUCUAAAAAGAUGCAAAUAUCAUACCCCAGGCUAAGCCCAGAUCACCCCCUUUCCAUGGAGAUUCCUAAGCUCCACAUAAUUCAACACUCUCGCUGUAUAGCACUUCUUUUCCUUCUUCAGUUCUCAUCACUGCACUUCCCCUCCCUCGGCUACAACGUCCCAGAUAAGUACUUUAUCAGUUGUGGGUCAGACAACAGUGUUAACGAAAGUGGCAAGGUUUACGCUGCUGAGUCAAAACUUGAUGCCAGUUUUAGCGGCAGUAAUACCGAAAGGAAUCAGUCAUCGGUGCCUUCUCCUCUUUACCAAACAGCAAGGAUUUUUCGAAGGGAAUCUUGGUACAAGUUCAACAUCGAUUUAAAGGGCACCUACCUGCUACGCCUCCAUUUCUUCCCUUUCUCUUCCCCCAGUAAUCUUUCCUCGGCCAGGUUCAACGUUUCAGUUCCUGGUUUCUGGUUGUUGCAAAAUUUUAAUGGUACAAAUGAUACCAAUAGCAACUCGGCUUCAGUUAAAGAAUUUUUCAUGGAAAUCAGUCCCCCCACCUUCAGAGUAACUUUCAGACCUCUGGAAUCAUCGUUUGCGUUUGUGAAUGCCAUAGAACUGUUCGUACUACCCCUCCAUCUGAUAUCUGAUAAGGUGUCGUUUUUCAAACCUAUUGGGGGUACAACUCCUUAUAGCGGAGGUUUGUACUCUCGGGUGUUGGAGACCAAACAUAGGCUUAAUGUUGGUGGUCAACAUACCAAAGAUCUCUUAUUGAGAAACUGGAUUCCAGAUGAUAUUCAUCUAAUGUAUACAGGAAACGCCAAGAAUCGUUCCCCUUACAAUGGUGAAAUCGGGUACCAUGUAGAUGAUGACUCCGAUGGUCCAAACGCAGCUAGAUAUACUGCGCCAACUCAGGUGUACGGAACUGCUAAGGAAACUAACCUCUCUGUCAAUGCCACAGACUUUGGACUUUUCAACAUAACAUGGGCUCUUCCGGUGGACAACAAAACAGAUCAUUUCCUUCGGCUUCACUUCUGUGACUAUUUGAGUUCACAAGGUGGCCUUACAUACUUCGAACUUUCCAUUUAUGACGCCCUUGUCAUGCAGGUAAAUAGUGACGGAAACGUGUCUAACGAGUUGCCUGCCCCUUAUUAUUAUGAUUUCGUGGUGAACUCUGAUGACAAUGGACAUAUUAAGGUCAGCCUAACACCUAAUAGAACCGCUUUAAAUCCAAGUGCAUUUUUAAACGGGCUAGAAAUAAUGAAAGUGAUUGAACCAUCAAAUUCUGUCCCCCCUGACUUGGAAGAAGCCGAUUCCAAUCAUCGUCUUCCUUUGUUGCUGGGUUCAGUUCUCGGUGGUUUAGUCUUGGCUAUUGUUGUAGUGCUACUUGGAUUUCUUUGGCGUUUUAAAAUGAGGAAGGAAAAGCCCGUUGAGAAUUCGGACUGGUUGCCAAUCCCCGUUAAUGCUGGAGGAAGUUCUCACAGCAGAUUGACUGAUAUAACCAGUCACGGGUCUCCCCUUCCCAACAUAAACCUAGGGCUCAAAAUUCCCUUGAUUGAUCUUCAACUUGCAACAAAGAAUUUCCACGAAAGUCAGCUGAUUGGCAAGGGUGGUUUUGGCAACGUCUACAAGGGAGUCCUCAAGAAUGGCAUGACAGUGGCUGUGAAAAGAAGCCAGCCAGGGUCAGGUCAAGGCCUUCCAGAAUUUCAGACAGAGAUUAUGGUUUUGUCCAAGAUUCGCCACAGGCACCUGGUUUCCUUAAUUGGGUAUUGUGAUGAGAGGUUCGAGAUGAUUCUGGUCUAUGAAUACAUGGAAAAAGGAACCCUAAGGGACCAUUUGUAUAACACAAAGUUUCCAACCUUGUCCUGGAAGGUGAGGCUUCAAAUUUGCAUUGAUUCUGCCAGGGGUCUUCAUUACCUUCAUAAAGGAGCAGCUGGGGGAAUCAUUCACCGUGAUGUAAAGUCCACAAACAUAUUGCUUGAUGAGAACCAUGUUGCUAAAGUUGCUGAUUUUGGUCUUUCAAGGUCAGGUCCUCUUGAUACUCAACCGUAUGUCAGCACUGGUGUUAAAGGCACUUUUGGG